AUUGAACGCUGGCGGCAGGCCUAACACAUGCAAGUCGAACGGUAACAGGAAACAGCUUGCUGUUUCGCUGACGAGUGGCGGACGGGUGAGUAAUGUCUGGGAAACUGCCUGAUGGAGGGGGAUAACUACUGGAAACGGUAGCUAAUACCGCAUAACGUCGCAAGACCAAAGAGGGGGACCCUCGGGCCUCUUGCCAUCGGAUGUGCCCCGAUGGGAUUAGCUUGUUGGUGGGGUAACGGCUCACCAAGGCGACGAUCCCUAGCUGGUCUGAGAGGAUGACCAGCCACACUGGAACUGAGACACGGUCCAGACUCCUACGGGAGGCAGCAGUGGGGAAUAUUGCACAAUGGGCGCAAGCCUGAUGCAGCCAUGCCGCGUGUAUGAAGAAGGCCUUCGGGUUGUAAAGUACUUUCAGCGGGGAGGAAGGGAGUAAAGUUAAUACCUUUGCUCAUUGACGUUACCCGCAGAAGAAGCACCGGCUAACUCCGUG
rnacentral:rRNA from 1 species